GGUCUACCUGGAUGUCUUUUUUUUUUUUUUUUUAUAAAAUUCAGAUAUUUGUUGAACUUUCAAUGUUUAGAGAAGCUGACUGAGAACACCAUCAACUUCUGCCGGAAUCUGUGUUGAUGGAGCUUCUUUAAGGAGGUCAGACCUUCUGUUAAUCUUGAUGGUUCUCUAGAGUCUUCAACACAAACAGAAUUAAAAGCUUGAACCUCA